GCAGAGAUGCAUCAGGUGCCCUUCGGGGAAAGUUGAGACAGGUGGUGCAUGGUUGUCGUCAGCUCGUGUCGUGAGAUGUUGGGUUAAGUCCCGCAACGAGCGCAACCCUUGACUUUAGUUGCCAGCAGGUAAGGCUGGGCACUCUAGAGUGACUGCCGGUGACAAACCGGAGGAAGGUGGGGAUGACGUCAAAUCAUCAUGCCCCUUAUGACCUGGGCUACACACGUACUACAAUGGCCGGUACAACGGGAAGCGAAGCCGCGAGGUGGAGCCAAUCCCAGCAAAGCCGGUCUCAGUUCGGAUUGCAGGCUGCAACUCGCCUGCAUGAAGUCGGAAUUGCUAGUAAUCGCGGAUCAGCAUGCCGCGGUGAAUACGUUCCCGGGUCUUGUACACACCGCCCGUCACACCACGAGAGUUUACAACACCCGAAGUCGGUGGGGUAACCCGCAAGGGAGCCAGCCGCCGAAGGUGGGGUAGAUGAUUGGGGUGAAGUCGUAACAAGGUAGCCGUAUCGGAAGGUGCGGCUGGAUCACCUCCUUU
rnacentral:ncRNA from 1 species